GUUUCAUUUACCUAUGGUCAAAUACAGGCUGAAAAUAUUAAAUGGAAAAUUCCAGAAAUAAACAAUUCAUAAGUCUGAAAUUGAUGCUGUCCUCAGUAGUAUGAUGAAAUCUCAUGCCGUCCCCUUCUGUUCCACCCAAGACAUACAUCAGACCUUUGUUCAGUGUAUCCAUGCUGUGUAUACUACCCUCCCGUUAGUCACUUAGCAGCCAUCUCCGUUAGUAGAUUAACUGUCAUGGUGUUGCUGUGCUGUGUUCAAGUAAUCCUUACUUCACUUCAAAAAUGGUCUCAAAACACAGGAGCAAUUGUUAAAAUUGCUCUCUUUUAUUUUUAGUUAUUAUUGUUCAUCUCUUACAACACUUAAUGUAUAGAUUAACCUGCCUUGAGAAUGUGCUCAGGCUGUCCUGUUGGAGAAUGAGACUAGCACCCAGACCCAACUGCCCAGUGACCUUGGACAAGGCCAUCCCAGACCAACUGAGACACUAGACACGGGUGUGAGCCCAGUCAAGGUCAGCAGGACGUCCACACAACCCACAACUGACUGAAGAUGCACGAGCCAGUCCAGCCGAGGUCGGCCGAACCCAAACCAGAUCGCAGAACCCCGCAGACAGUUGAACCAAAUCUGUUCACUGCUUGUUCAAGGCCACACAGUCCCUGAGCUGUGUCGUGGCAACAGGAAGUGGAGGCAGAUCUUAGUAGGCCACGUUACUGAGGCUUGCUAAGAAACACAGACCCUUCUAGAUGGCUCGAAGGGGAUCUGGGACCCAAAGACAUUCCCAGUUUUCUUAAUAUCUAUCAGAUCAUUUAACUGUGAACCCAUAAAUCCUCAAAUCUGGAAUAGGUAAGUUUUGUGGUUUUGUUUUGUUGGAGGUCAAGAAACUUGAGGGCUGUCGCUGGCUAGGGUAGAGCGGAAGAGAGGUCAGGUCGCCUCCUUUCUGUGUCUUCUAACCCACUUGUGGACUCCGUGGCCCAGGGUUAUGGAUUUGGCCCUUUUCCCAACGACCUUCUCGACCCAUUAUGCAAAUCUGAUUCUAGAGCAUCUUAAUGGGAGGCGUCAGCCAGGUCCCAGGGAACUGUCCAUUGUUCAAAUUAAAAUCUCCUUUGCGGGUCCGCAACCCUCUUAGCUCCUGCCACCUCCAGGGGACAGAAGCCACACAGGUUGAGCGUGUGGCUUGGCAUUGGACGCCCCAGACUUGAGUCCCUCUGCUCUGUCGCUGUGUGGCCCUAGGCCAACCUGAAACCUCUGUGAAGUUUUUACAGAGGUCCCUCCUGGGUCCAGUGGAAUGAACUUGGCACCCGCCUCAUGGGGGUCAGUGAGAUAGAGCACAGGACGUGUCCACUCGUGGGACGCGCCAGCCACCUGUAGCUGCGGUGACUGAUAGGUCCUUUCGUCCCAGGUACACGCUCAGCCUGUGUGCCCCAAACGGUCCCAACAGGGUCAGCCCUGGGACCUGAGGGCCCCAGGAUUAGCGGAGUCUCGUUCUGGGCUUCAUGUCACUGGUGUUCCUUGGGCUGGGUCCUCGGCGGGGGGCGGGGGUGGCUGAGGAGCCGUCACGUCCCUGUCAGUGAAGGCCAGGUUCUCUGCUGCUGUGGACACGGGACCCCAAAGCAGAGGGUUGGUGAGUGUGUCAUUCAGCCGGCAGACAGGAGAGAGGGGACUGGGAGGUGGCGGGAGGUGUCGAAGGGCCAACGCCAUCACUUCUCUCUGUCGCCUGACAGUCACGCGGUCACACGCAGGCACAGAGCGGCUGGGAGAGGCGGGCGGUGGCUGGGGGCUGUUUGUUGCAGCACGGGCUCUGUCCUCGGGAGGGGAGCGAGCACCUUGGAUGGCCCUCUCAGCCUCAGUGGCCAGCACGCACUGGGCACUGCCCUGGGCCUGGCACCAGGUGACCAUCAGCACCCAGCAUCCACGCAGGCCCCCAUGUGGCACCCUGUGAGGGAGGCGUCCUCUCUACCAUCCCCAUUGUCCAGCUGAAGAAGGAGGCCCUGAGAGGUGACCCCUACUGCAGCUCGGCCCUCAGAAGCAGCAGUGUCCCUGUACUCGCUGAGCCUGGCCUCCUCACUGGAGGUGGACCGUGGGCCACCCAGAGGUGUCGUGCCAUGAGCCUUUGACAGCUCUCUGUCCUGGCCGAGACCAGGCCGCCCAGCCCCCCCGUGGGAAGGAACCUCGGGGGGCUCGAUGCUCAGCCGGGUGAGCACUGUGGCCGGGCUGGGCUUGGCUCUGCCGUCAGGGGGUGUCCUUCCCUCAGAGAUGCCCGCAUCUUAACUCCCUGGGAUCUGUGGUCACCUUACGUGGCCCCAGGGACUUUGAAGGUGCAAUUGAGUUAUGGCUUCUGGGACAGGAGACCAGCCCGUGUCAUCUGAAGGGGCUCAGACUCCCAGGAGAUUCUCCUUAGAAGAUGACAGAGAGGAACCUUGAGAGGGGUGCAGGGGUUGGACGGUCACUCUGAAGAUAGGGGAAGGGGUCUGUCCGUCCUUUACUCUGUCCCUUGGUCCCGGGCAGCCUUCUUCAGUGCCCUGGGUGGUGGGUGAACACACUGUUCCCUCUCGGGGGGAGGUGACAUGGGCUGAGGCCCUGGGGGAGGGAAGAAAACAGAAACUCACCCCUUGACCAUGGGUCACUUCUAGACGAGAAAAAUCUCUGCUGGUUCCAGGGUGGAAAGAGUCCAUGGCCAUCACUUCCCACCAAGUGGCCAUUGGGCCAGCUGAGGGAAGAGGCCACAGCAGGGCCCGGCCGGGCCUCCUUCCUGGAGCUGGGAGUUGAGCAACGGCGUGACUCACUCGGCGGCAGGAGGUCCACCCGCCCCUGGCGGCUCGGUCCAAGUUCCAGUCCGGCUCUGCGGUGGCGGGGGACAGGCUGGCUGGCAACCCCGCUGAGCCGCUGUCUCUGCGUGGUUGUGGACUGUCCCUUCUGGCCACUGACAGGCAGUAGAAGGGUUCUGGGCUUCACGACUGACUUGGAAAUCUAUUCACGAGUUUCUUCCCUACUUUGUUCUCAAUCUUCCAAAUUCUCUCCUUCUGGUCCCCAGGACAACAGCCAAGCCAUUCCCCAGUGUCCAGGAGUCUGUAUGGACUCUAACCUUGGGCCACUUUUCCUCUGCGCCGAGUGGGUGACCAGCUUCCCGCCCACAGCUCUACCCACCCGGAGAAUGACCCCUGGACACUGUUUUUCAAGACUAACCCGAGUGGGCCGUGGGCAGCCCCCGCCCACUGCCAUCUGCUC
rnacentral:lncRNA from 1 species